AGCCUCGNUUCGGNUCCGAUUUAGCCUGCUAGUUGCACGGGUUUAGACCCGUGGCGAAAAGCUCAGUAACACGUGGCCAAGCUACCCUGUGGACCAGGAUAACCUCGGGAAACUGAGGCUAAUCCUGGGCAACGCUCCGCCACUGGAAUGUGCGGAGCCGGAAACGUUCCGGCGCCACAGGAUGCGGCUGCGGCCGAUUAGGUUGACGGUGGGGUAACGGCCCACCGUGCCCAUAAUCGGUACGGGUUGUGAGAGCAAGAGCCCGGAGACGGAAUCUGAGACAAGAUUCCGGGCCCUACGGGGCGCAGCAGGCGCGAAACCUUUACACUGCACGCCAGCGCGAUAAGGGAACCCCGAGUGAAAGGGCAUAUCGCCCUUUCUUUUCUGGACCGUAGGGAGGUCCAGGAACAAGAGCUGGGCAAGACCGGUGCCAGCCGCCGCGGUAAUACCGGCAGCUCGAGUGACGACCGAUUUUAUUGGGCCUAAAGCGUCCGUAGCUGGCCCGAGCAAGUUCGUCGGGAAAUCCACCCGCUUAACGGGUGGGCGUCCGGCGAAAACUGUUCAACUUGGGACAGGAAGGCUCGAGGGGUACGUUCGGGGUAGGAGUGAAAUCCCGUAAUCCUGAACGGACCACCGAUGGCGAAAGCACCUUGAGAGGACUGAUCCCAC
rnacentral:rRNA from 1 species